GUGAUUGUUCCUUCCACUUCAGGGGCCUUGGGAGGAUGACCUAAGGCUGCUUUCUCCUGUCCUUACUUCCUCUACCCAGUGCUGUAACUACACAUGCAAUCAGCUGGUUCUUAUAAAGGAUGCUGACCAAUGCUGUGAUGUUGUCUUCAGGAAGCAGGGGGAUCUCCAAACAAGAACCCCAACUCUCCCUGGUAAAUCCUGCCUCCCAGUACAACCUGUCAUUUGAAACUAUCAUUCAAGGUGACUGGACUCUUUUAACGAAGGGGGCAAGUAUGUGAAACAAGGUAGGCUAACUCACACUCUCUCUUAGGACUUUGAAUUUUUGAGAGUAUUUUGGGCAUGUCCUGAAGAGACUAUCCAACCAGCCAAAUGACGGGUCUUGCCUUCCCUACCUUCUCUGUCCUGCAAGAAGCUAGUUAUUCAAGUUUCCUUUGAUUCUGUGAGCUAUUUCAUCCCAUAUCUUGCCAAUAAACUCAUUAAAAAAUGUGGUUUAUGCUGUUUAAAAACCAAAGAAUUCUUGACAUGGUAUCAUUUAAUAUGAAC
rnacentral:lncRNA from 1 species